AUACGUAGGGGGCGAGCGUUGUCCGGAAUUAUUGGGCGUAAAGGGCGCGUAGGCGGCGCGGUAAGUCUGGAGUGAAAGUCCUGCUUUCAAGGUGGGAAUUGCUUUGGAUACUGCCGCGCUUGAGUGCAGGAGAGGUUAUCGGAAUUCCCGGUGUAGCGGUGAAAUGCGUAGAGAUCGGGAGGAACACCAGUGGCGAAGGCGGCUAUCUGGACUGUAACUGACGCUGAGGCGCGAAAGUGUGGGGAGCAAACAGGAUUAGAUACCCUGGUAGUCCACACCGUAAACGAUGGAUACUAGGUGUCGGGGGGAUCGAGCCCCUCGGUGCCGCAGUUAACACAAUAAGUAUUCCACCUGGGGAGUACGGCCGCAAGGUUGAAACUCAAAUGAAUUGACGGGG
rnacentral:rRNA from 1 species